rnacentral:rRNA from 1 species
UACGGAGGGUGCAAGCGUUGUCCGGAAUCACUGGGCGUAAAGGGCGCGUAGGCGGCCCGGUAAGUAGGGGGUGAAAUCCUGCGGCUUAACCGCAGGACUGCCUUCUAAACUGUCGGGCUCGAGCACGGUAGAGGCAGAUGGAAUUCCCGGUGUAGCGGUGGAAUGCGUAGAGAUCGGGAAGAACAUCAGUGGCGAAGGCGGUCUGCUGGGCCGUUGCUGACGCUGAGGCGCGACAGCGUGGGGAGCAAACAGG